rnacentral:rRNA from 2 species
AAUGGACGAAAGUCUGACGGAGCAACGCCGCGUGAGCGAAGAAGGCCUUCGGGUCGUAAAGCUCUGUUGUUAGGGAAGAACAAGUACGAGAGUAACUGCUCGUACCUUGACGGUACCUAACCAGAAAGCCACGGCUAACUACGUGCCAGCAGCCGCGGUAAUACGUAGGUGGCAAGCGUUGUCCGGAAUUAUUGGGCGUAAAGCGCGCGCAGGCGGUUUCUUAAGACCGAUGUGAAAGCCCACGGCUCAACCGUGGAGGGUCAUUGGAAACUGGGGAACUUGAGUGCAGAAGAGGAGAGUGGAAUUCCACGUGUAGCGGUGAAAUGCGUAGAGAUGUGGAGGAACACCAGUGGCGAAGGCGACUCUCUGGUCUGUAACUGACGCUGAGGCGCGAAAGCGUGGGGAGCGAACAGGAUUAGAUACCCUGGUAGUCCACGCCGUAAACGAUGAGUGCUAAGUGUUAGAGGGUUUCCGCCCUUUAGUGCUGCAGCAAACGCAUUAAGCACUCCGCCUGGGGAGUACGGUCGCAAGACUGAAACUCAAAGGAAUUGACGGGGGCCCGCACAAGCGGUGGAGCAUGUGGUUUAAUUCGAAGCAACGCGAAGAACCUUACCAGGUCUUGACAUCCUUCGCUACUUCUAGAGAUAGAAGGUUCCCCUUCGGGGGACGGAGUGACAGGUGGUGCAUGGUUGUA